rnacentral:lncRNA from 1 species
CAUGGAGGAACAUGGCGAUUCUGAGCUGACCCCCGGCUGCAGCAGGCUGGGCCCUGGCAGCGUUCACAGCAGCUGUGCCCCCUCAUGGGCCCUUCAAGGUUGGCUGGAUGGGCACCAACCCUAAGUAUUUAGAAAUGAUAGAAUGAAGUACAGGAGAUGACAUCCAAGUUUAUAUAGCAUUCUUAGUUUACCUGGACCUCAUGGACAGUAAAAGUUGGCAUGAAGUCAAUUGUGUGUGGGAAUGCUGGAACUGCAGCUCAUCUGCCUUGUUCUGAGCUAGAAGGGGAGGGGCUGCAGACUGUGGUGUCUACCCCCUUCACUACUUCCCUCAGCCGUAACUGCUCAAGGGAGAUCUUGAAGGCAUCUU